UACGUAGGUGGCGAGCGUUGUCCGGAAUUACUGGGUGUAAAGGGCGUGUAGGCGGUAUAUUAAGUCAGAUGUGAAAUUUCCGGGCUUAACCCGGGGGCUGCAUUUGAAACUGAUGUACUUGAGUGCAGGAGAGGAAAGCGGAAUUCCUAGUGUAGCGGUGAAAUGCGUAGAUAUUAGGAGGAACACCAGUGGCGAAGGCGGCUUUCUGGACUGUAACUGACGCUGAGACGCGAAAGCGUGGGGAGCAAACAGGAUUAGAUACCCUGGUAGUCCACGCCGUAAACGAUGAUUACUAGGUGUGGGAGGUAUCGACCCCUUCCGUGCCGGAGUUAACACAAUAAGUAAUCCACCUGGGGAGUACGGCCGCAAGGUUGAA
rnacentral:rRNA from 1 species